rnacentral:rRNA from 1 species
CCUACGGGAGGCUGCAGUGAGGAAUAUUGGUCAAUGGCCGGAAGGCUGAACCAGCCAUGCCGCGUGAAGGUCAGUGCCCUAUGGGCGUUAAACUUCUUUUGUGCGGGAGCAAUAAUGGUCACGUGUGGCCAGACGAGAGUACCGUACGAAUAAGCAUCGGCUAACUCCGUGCCAGCAGCCGCGGUAAUACGGGGGAUGCAAGCGUUAUCCGGAUUUAUUGGGGUUAAAGGGUGCGUAGGCUGUGUGGUAAGUCAGCGGUGAAAUGCCCCCGCUCAACGGGGUGAAGUGCCAUUGAUACUGCUAUGCUGGAAUGCGGAUGCGGUAGGAGGAAUGUGUGGUGUAGCGGUGAAAUGCAUAGAUAUCACACAGAACACCGAUUGCGAAGGCAUCUCACGAAUCCGCGAUUGACGCUGAUGCACGAAAGCGUGGGUAUCAAACAGGAUUAGAUACCCUAGUAGUC